GGAGGAGCCUUUUUCCCAAGAGGAAAAGAAGAAUCCUUUUUUGUUGCUGUUGCAUCAGCGAUCUGUUUUCGGGCACCCAGAUGGACGGCUGGAAAGAAAAUUUUUGCUGUGCAGCCUUCAAUAAGGUCUGAUGUAACUACAACUAGAGAUAAAUAAUUUAACAAGGGACGUUCACCGGGCAGCUAGAUCUACUACUUGGCCAGAUUUAACAAGCAGGACAGCACGUCAUGGUACCAAGUGCAUGCUGAGACACAAGGGCACUGCACGACACUACGAGUUGCAGCCGAAGCCAAUACAGAUGUUUCUGCGCGGUCUGCUCGUCUUCCGAACAAGAAUGCAGAAGCGAGGCCAGGAAAGGCCAGAAAGAAAAAGAACGUUCACCAGUUAUGUAAGCCCUUGGUGUUCUAAGCAGCCAGUUGGACAUUGCACAGUAGUAGGACUUGAGUCUCAAGUCAAAGCAUAAUUAAAGCAUUUAAAAAAAACAUGCUGGAGCAAUCCUCUCUCUGGUGGCUUUGAACACCAAGGGCAUCUGCAAAUGGUGAAUUUUCGCUUCCCAAUUUUGUCAAAUUGUUCAGUUCAAAUUUAAGAAAUUUAUAAGGUACACUGUACAGCAGCAGUUUCAGCCUUCCUUCUCAACAUGUAUACUUCACCUCUAAAACACAUUCAAAUAUACGCAUUACCAUAUUGAUUUGGGUAGCCGAAACAGCUGCUGCACUGUACUUGAACAUAAAAUCUUUUUAUAUUUCAUAAAUAUUUUAAUUAUCACUACAAGAUGAAAUAAUCCAGACUUAGUUUCCCACGCUAGAGCCAUUCAGAUUUAAUUAUAUUUAUGAUUACAUCUCAUCAUUGUGUUUUUAAUUUUGUUUUACUGUGAAUUAUUGUUAAAGAAUUCACCAAUUGCGAAAGAUUAAGUGUUUGAAGCUGCAAACGGAUCGCGCCACUGUCUAAAACCGUGUACUUCUGAUAUAAAGUUCUCAAUCCUGCUGCUUAUGCAUUCUGCUCGUAAAAUGAAUUAUUUGUAAGUGUUGAAACUCAAAAUAAGUCCAGCCAAUCAACACAGGAUCGCGAGAAACAUAUUUUGCCAUGAAAAAGUCAUUCCCGGCAAUUCUGUUUGCGGCGAUUGGCUGGGCUGAAUUUUCUUUCAGCAUACAUCCAAAGAAAUCUAAAUAGCAGGAUGCAUAUGAUAGCAGGAAUAAUUCUAAUAAGUGUUUUCAAAUAAAAAUUAACUGUUGGUGCCAUUUAUUUACAGCUUAAAAACUAUUUGUAUGAGACUUUCGCAACUGUUAAAAUUGUAGGGAACAUUUUCAAGCUAAUUACGCUUACUUGGUGUGAUUUGAAGUAUUGUAGCUAUAUACUUCUAUUAAUUUGGCAGAUCUCAAUUGACUAGUUGUAUAAACCCGGUGUUCGAAGCCGUCAACGGAUGGCGCAACCAUAGACUUUCUUAAAACUUUAAUUUUUAAGGCACAUCCGUUGCGAUUUCAGACUCAAUCUAGCUACCGUGCAUUCUUAAUUAAUUAUGCUCACU